rnacentral:lncRNA from 1 species
UAUAAACAAAUGAUACUUAAAAACCACAUGAAAAGAUGCUCAACAUCACUAGUCAUUAGGGAAAUGCAAAUCAAACUACAAUGAGAGACCACACCCCUUAGAAUCAAUUAAAAAAAAAACAAAAAACAGAAACUAACAAGUGUCUGGUGAGGAUAUGGAGAAACUGGAACUCUUUUGCUUUGGGGGUUCCCUCAAAGCACAAAUGUAAUGGAAAUGUAGCAGAAGUGUAGAAUGGGGCAGCCACGGCAGAAAAUGGCAUGGUGGUUCCUCAAAAAAUUAAACAUAGAAUUCCCAUAUGAUCCAUAAAUUCUAUUUCUGGGUAUAUACUCAAAAUAACUCAAAGCAGGGUCUCAAAGAGGUGGUUGUACACCCAUCUUUAUAACAGCAUUAUUUACAAUAGCCAAAUGUCUUAUCAAGACAAAUGGAGGAACAAAAUGAGGUAUAUUCAUACAAUAGUGUUAUUCAGGCUUUAGAAGGAGGGAAAUUCUGACACAUACAAUAACAAAAUGAACUUUGAGGACAUUGUGCAGAGUGAAAUAAACCAGACACAAAAGGACAAAUACUGUGUGAUUCCAUUUAUAUGGGGUAUCUAGAAGAGUCAAAUUCAGAAGCAAAGUAAACAGUGGUUCCCACAGGCUGGAGGUGGUGGGGAAAGAGGAGUUAGUGUUUAAUGGGUACAGAGCUUCAGUUAGGGAAGAUGAAAACGUUUUCUGGAGAGGGAUGGGGGUGAUGGUUGUGCAAUAAUUGUAAGGAACUUAAAGUCCUUGAACUGUACACUUAAAGUGCUCACGAUGGUGAAAUUUAGGUUCUGUAUAUUUCUAUAUAUUUCUCUAUUUCUAUUGGGGCACUAGGACCGGCUACAUAAUUUGAAGGCCUGCCCAGUGCAAAAUAAAAAUGGAGGAGCCCUUGUUCCAAAAUGUUUAAGAAUUUCAAGAGGGUGACAGCAGGGCAUUAAACUGAAUGCAGAGUCCUUUGGAGCACUACCCAGGUCAUCCUCCAUGAAACCGAGUGCAGAGUCCUUUGGAGCAUCCCCCAUGAGCACAGGGUCCUUUGGAGCACUACCCAGGUCAUCCCUCAUGAAGCCAGCCCAGCUGGGAGGUAUGUAACAGUUAGUUUUCUGUGUCAACUUACCAGGCUACAGUACCAAGUUAUUUAAUCAAACACCCAUCUCCGUGUUGUUGUGAAGAUAUUUUGUAGAUGUGGUUAACAAUCAGUUGACUUUAAGUAAAAUAAAUUAUCCUUGAUACUGUGAGUGGAUCCUAUGAAAUCAGUUAAAAGGCCUUAAAAUCAAAAAUCUAGGUUUUCAGGAGAAGAUGAAAUUCUGCCUCAAGGCCACAGCACUAACUCAGCCUGAGUUUCCAGUCUUUGGGGCUGCCCUACGGAUUUCGGGCUUGCAAGAUUAUAAUCGUGAGCUAAUUCCUAGAAAUAACUCUCUUAAUAGAAAUAUAUAUUGGUUCUGUUUCUCUGAAGAACCCUGACUGAUACAUAAGAAAAGAAAUGGAUUGGUGAAGUUAAUAAAAACAAAAGCACAGCAGGCUUUGAAAAUCAUCAAGUCCAAAUCACCUGGUUGUUCUGCAUAUGAGGAAACCAAGGCUCAGAGAAGUGAUGAAACUUGUCCAGUGUCACACAGCAAGUUAGGAAAGGCGGUGUCUUCACACUUCUCCAUCAAAGAGUGCCUGGUAGCCGUGUGUUUUCUAUAGCUUAUAUUUUAAUUUCUAAACGUCUAUGAAUUUUGCAUUCUAUUCCAUUAUAUAAUUGUGUUUUCCAUUUUUAAGUAGUGUUUUAUUUUCCAAAUCGUUUUCCCUAACAUUUCUGCUCUAGGAAGGAGUGCCACGCCUGUUCCGCGGACUUCUGACCCCGCACACCAACCCGAUGGAAGUAGUGAAGACAGUAGGGACGCACAGCACAGUGACUGAAGCCUGAAACCCUGAGGCUCAGUAAAACUUCAAUUCCUAGAAGCCUAAGGCAAUCGAAUGUUCUCGAAAUAGACCUUCCAGAAUCAAUGCAAUUUUCGGUUCAGCUUUUAGAUGCGUAUAAGAUACUCUUUCUUUGCUGUGGGAUUUUUCUGGUGCUUGAGAUCUUCUUUCCCGAGCGUUCUCCUUGCAGAGAUCUUUUGAUAUGGAGCGGCGUGCACGCAGCCCCUAGGUUGGGCGCUGAGGGGCAUCGCUGAUGCGAUCCACGUGCCUCCCCGUCCUCAGGCCGCUUCCUUUCCUGGUUUCCAGGUCCUCGUUUCUCCCAGCGCUGCCCUCCCCAUCUAAGCCCAAGUCGCCGUGAGCCCGCGCUGCCCCCUUGUGGCCAAAGCCCUCCCCAGCUCAGGAAACGGGAACGCUUGGCGGCCAGGCUGAGAGUCGGUGCGCGUGACCCGGCUUCUGCUCGCAGCAUCCAAGAAGUUGCAAUAACGUGGAAGGAUGGGGAACGGCGCCUCCCUGGCUAGCGUGAAACUCAGCCACAGCACAAAAUUGAGGCUGUUGGCCGUGAGCGGCUCUCAAAGCUGAAUUUGAGCCAUGCUAAAAUACUUACCUUGGACAUAAGCUAAGCUUUAAGUUUGUUGUUUAUAACUUCAAAGAGAGACAAGGGACAGUGACUUAAGAAUAUUCUAAGCUAUAAAUUUACAUGUGGACUUUGCUACACACCUGGGAUGCAGCCAGAUGAGUUUUGUUCCAUUGCAGUACAUCUGAUGACCAGAAUUCUAUCAGAGAAUGUUAAUGAACGAAAAGCCUGAGCUUUAAGACUGAGAUUGGUACCACGGGUAGUCAUGGCCACCUGCUGGCAGCGUAGGGUACUGCAGCCCAGCUAUGGUUCAGACUAAAAGCCGAGAAACGCCUGUGGUCCAGGGAAAGGUAUGAAGAUCAUAUAAACCGGCGGUGGACAGGAAAUGCCACAGUCAAGAAGAUGCCCCUGGGAUGCUGAGCUCUUACAACUCGAAAUCAACAGCUUUUACAAAUAAAACCGCUGCAAAAGCAAUAGCUCUUACAAAUAAAACUGAUAAUUUGGACUUCUGGGCACCAAAUGUUUUCAUAACGAAAACAUCAAUUAUGCAUUAUAAUACCAAGUACACCUUACACUUACUGAUUCUUCUCCUUAACUUUCAGUGUAUUCCUUUAGGAGAUUGUCGCACCUUGGUCAGAAUACAUCGACAGUUUUAUAAUAGAACAGAAAAGCUUCCAUUUGCAGCAAUAUAUUUUAGUUGGCUUGUUGAAACACAUCUCUCUUCCUGAAAGCAAGCAAUUCUUGAAGUGGAUCAACCUUGUCAUCAUAUCCCUUUUAUUCUUCACCCUUUUAUUCUUCACUGGUAUGACAGUCCCUAUACCAUCUUAGCCACUGCUUUUUUGUUUCUACUUAUUUUCCAUCCCCCCUGCCUGCCCCCCAUAGCAAAAUGAAGGCAUGCCGGGAAGCAGCAACUCAACAUAAAAAGAGGACCCUCCAAGCGAUCAGCUCACAAGACAGUUUUAUUGAAUUAGUUGCAUGCAGGAGCAAUUCUGUUCUUCCCAUGAGCAGCAGAGUCGAGUGUUAGAGUGCAGGAUCCAGAGCGGGGAGAGGCUGGGCGGAGUUGGGGGCCUGGA